rnacentral:rRNA from 2 species
UGGGGAAUAUUGCGCAAUGGGCGGAAGCCUGACGCAGCAACGCCGCGUGCGGGAUGACGGCCUUCGGGUUGUAAACCGCUUUCAGUAGGGACGAAGCUUUUGUGACGGUACCUACAGAAGAAGCACCGGCCAACUACGUGCCAGCAGCCGCGGUGAUACGUAGGGUGCGAGCGUUGUCCGGAAUUAUUGGGCGUAAAGAGCUUGUAGGCGGUUAGUCGCGUCGGAAGUGAAAACUCGGGCCUUAACCCCGAGCUUGCUUCCGAUACGGGCUGACUAGAGGAAGGUAGGGGAGACUGGAAUUCCUGGUGUAGCGGUGGAAUGCGCAGAUAUCAGGAGGAACACCGGUGGCGAAGGCGGGUCUCUGGGCCGUUACUGACGCUGAGGAGCGAAAGCAUGGGGAGCGAACAGG